CUCCCCGUAGUUCAAUGGAUAGAACAGUGGCGUCCUAAGCCAUUAAUGUAGGUUCGAUUCCUACCGGGGAGGCAA
rnacentral:tRNA from 1 species